rnacentral:pre_miRNA from 1 species
GAGACACCCCUAUGGAGCAGGACUUGCUUCAGUGGGGCUUGGUGCUUCCUGAGUCUGCUUCUUGAGUGUGUCGCU